CAGCAUCCAGAUUUGCCCAAUAGGAACCAGGAUCAGGUGCAGGGGGCGGGACUUCUCAGGGAGGGGCGGGGUUCCAGUGUUAGGCAAUGGGCAGGGCUGCCGGAAGUGGGAAGGAUUUGCACGGAGGCGGAGCUUUGUUGGCAAACCUGCUUGGCCGUUUUGAGUCCCCUACUACCACAAAUUAUGCAACUGAGUUUCCCACAUUUCCACAUUUGAGGAAAUCGCAGGGGUCAGCACAUCUGGAGUGCAAUGAAUAAGCCUCACCCUGGGAAAACCACCUUCGUGAUCAUGGCUUCUCCCUUGCCAGAUGGCAACUGGUACCAAAAUUAAGAAAUGGCUUUUGAUCAAAGAUCAAAUCUAGGGCACUGCCAGAACAGUGGUCUAAAGAUGAAGCAAACGACGUGACUGUCAAAACUUCUGUGAAGAUCUCAGAAAGAGCAAAGGUCAUGCUCACAGCCAUAAAAAGGGCCCUUUAAAGAGAUUGAUGGUAUAUCUCACAGAUUCUCUCAGUGAAACAAUAGUUCUUCUAGGAAGCUGAGGUCUUUCUGCCUCAGCCAAGGCUCAAAGGAGAGAAGAGCUUAUUUCAAGAUUUGUAAAUGUGACUUUUAUCUAAUGGAGUAAAUCCCAAGAUGAUUCACAGGAGACCCACAAACAUCUUAAAACAUUGCCAACUUGGACUCAGGGAAAUAGAGGCAGUGUGGAAAGAGGAGAAGCUUUUGGACCCCAGGAUUAUACUGGAAGGAAGGAGACUGUGAGAGCUGUUUUGCUGUAAACACAUGCUAAACUUCACAACAAAAGGAAGACUCAGAAGGCAGAAUAAAGAACUGAGAAGGUAAAGUUGAGUCAGGGAAAAUUUUUCCCAGGCCUUGAAAUCUAAUCAAGGAACAUCCAACCUUUGGCCAGCUGGAUUUCAGAACUACCAUGGAACAAUGAAUUCUUUGUGUAUUCCGUUUUUUCCCUUUUUGACAGACUGGCUUCUCUGCUGACCCACUGCUUUCACACGAGAUUGCACUGCUUACUGAUCAUAAUUGACUAGCCAGUUAAUUGUGGUCUCCGGAUUCCAAUUUUAAAUUUUUGGAGAAAGAAUCUCAUUGUCCCGGCUUGGGUCAGAGGUUCCAUCCUGAUUCUAUUUCCUUUACCCAGAAAUGGUGGAGCAUUGAGUACAUAGAGCUGCCUUUUCCAGGCCAUUGAGCUGACUCAGAGAAGAUGAGCAUCCUCACAUGAAAAAUUUCCUUAGUUUCUUUAUAAACAAGAGGUCUGAAGCUAUAUAACGCUGAGAGUCAGGGUACUACGCUAGCUGUCUACAAACAUUCAGCAGGCUGUCUGUUACAUGGCAAGCAGUGGAGCUUAUUUAUGCAACUCCAGAAACCAGAUACAGGACGAAUGGUGUCUGUUCUUAAAUACAAGUAUUAAAUUUGGCGUCAAAACUAUCUUGUUGCCAAGACAUGGAAGCAACCCAAAUGUCCAUCAACAGAUAACUGGAUAAAGAAGAUGGGGUACUUCUAUACAAUGGAACACCAGUUAGCCACAAAAAACAAAAUAAUGCCAUUUGCAGCAACAUGGAUGGACGUGGAGAUCAUCACUCCAAAUGAAGUUACUUAGGACGCAGCCCCACCCAUCAGCAGACUUUCUGAGGCCUCAACUACCUCUAGACACACCCCUGGACAUGGCACUGCCCACCAGAGUGCCAGAACCCAACUCUACCCAGCAGUAAGCAGGUACCGACCCCUCCCACCAGGAAACCUGCGCAAGCCUCUAGUCCAUCCUCACUGACCAGGGACAGAUACCAGAAGACUUCCAGAAUGUUGAAUAAAAUUGGUGACAGUGGACAUCCUUGACUUGUUCCUGACCUUAAAUAUGAUGUGAUCUUUGGGCUUGCUGUAUAUGGUCUUCAUUAUGACCAGAUACAAGAGAUGAAGCCAUAUGAAGAUGGAGGCAGAGACUGGAGUGGUGUGUCCACAAGCCAAGAGUGCCAAGGAUUCCUGCAGUAACCAGAAGCUAGGAGAAAAUCAUAGACAGAUUCUCCCUCAGAACUUCAAGAGGCAACCCAUCCUGUCAGCACUGAUUUUGGACUUCUGGUCUCUAGAACGAAUGAAACAAAAAUUAUGAGAUAUCCUAGUUUCAUCAUCUGUGUUCUUGAGAAUCAUGAUCCUCAGUAUGGAAGAAAGGAGAUGAAGAAAUACAGAUGAAUUUAGGCAAGAACCCUGAAGUCCUGCAUUUGAAUUGGAAAUAUUAGCUCAUGAGAGGAAAGACCAUGUGAGGACAGAAAGAGAAGACAUCAUGCAAGGAGGGAGUCUGUGAAUGUCUGACAGAAGGAUUGCAGAAUGUUACAACAAGUGGCUAUAGGGCAUAUUUCCCAUUCUUCCAUUUUCCAAGGACAGAAGAUUCCGACCCCUUGCCUCUGUGAAGGAGAUUUCACAGGAGAUAGAUGUACAAGUGUUGUGUCCUUUACUCUGGAGACAAAGAUGUAUUUUCACAUGCCAUGUUGAAUAAUUUAUCAUCACAUCAUACUCUGAUUUUGUGAGUAAAGUGCAGUUGGGAGUAUCAGAUAGAAAAAGAAUGAAGGACGUCCAUUUCUGUGUUGAAUAGGAGUGGUGAGAGUCGGCAUCCUUCUCUUGUUCUUGAUCUUGAAGAAAAAGCUUACAACUUUUCACCAAUGAGAAUGAUGUCAGCUGUGGGCUUGUCAUAUAUGGCCUUCAUUAUGUUGAGGUAAGUUCCUUCUAUAUCCAAUUGUUAAAGAGUUUUUCAUCAUGAACUAAUGUUGAAUUCUAUAAAAUGGUUUUCUGUUCCUAUUGAGAUUAACAUACGAUUUUUCUAUUUUAUUAAUGUCAGUUAUCAUAUUGAUUUGCACAUGUUCGACUAUCCUUGUAUCCCAGGGAUAAAUCCCACUUGAUCAUGGUGAAUAAUCCUUUUAAUGUGCUGCUGAAUUUGGCUUACUAGUAUUUUAUUGGGAGUAUUUGUAUCAAUGUUUAUCAGAAAUAUUAGCCUGUAGCUUUCGUUUUUGUAGUGACUUUCUGAUCAGAGUAAUGCUGGCCUUGUAAAAUUAGUUUCGGAGUGUUCUCUCCUCUUUGGUUUUUUGGAAGAAUCUGAAAAGGCUUUGCAUUAAUUCAUCUUUACGUGAGUGGUAAAUUUACCAGUGAAGCUGUCUGGUCCUGGGCUUUUCUUUGUUGGUAGACUUUGAUUACUGAUUUAAUCUCCUUACUAGUAAUAGGUAUAUUCUGAAAUUCUACUUCUUGAUUCAGUCAUGAUAGGUUUUAUGUUUCUAAGAAUAUUGGCAUUUCUGGCCAUGGCCUAAUCUAUGGUUUAUUCAUAAAAUGU